rnacentral:rRNA from 1 species
GUCUGGUGCCAUAUCACCCUGAAUGUGCCCAAUCUUGUCUGAUCUCAGAAACUAAGCCUGGUUAAUACUUGGAUGGGAGACACAUCUUCAGAAGAGACUGCUCAGAGA